rnacentral:rRNA from 1 species
UACGGAAGGCAGCAGUGGGGAAUAUUGCACAAUGGGCGAAAGCCUGAUGCAGCUAUGCCGCGUGUAUGAAGAAGGCCUUAGGGUUGUAAAGUACUUUCAUCGGGGAGGAAAAACAAAACUAAUAAUUUUAUUUCUUGACGUUACCCGAAAAAGAAGCACCGGCUAACUCCGUGCCAGCAGCCGCGGUAAUACGGAGGGUGCUAGCGUUAAUCAGAAUUACUGGGCGUAAAGAGCACGUAGGUGGUUUUUUAAGUUCAGAUGUGAAAUCCCUGGGCUUAACCUAGGAACUGCAUUUUGAAACUGAAAUACUAGAGUAUCGUAGAGGGAGGUAGAAUUCUAGGUGUAGCGGUGAAAUGCGUAGAUAUCUGGAGGAAUACCUGUGGCGAAAGCGGCCUCCUAAACGAAAUACUGACACUGAGGUGCGAAAGCGUGGGGAGCAAACAGGGAUUAGAUACC